AGACUGCAAAACAAGCCAUGUGUUAGGGAAAGAUGACUAAAAUACUUGUUCACUGUAGACACUGCUGUCUAAGUUUGUUCCCAGCCAAACCCUUAAAACUAUUUAUAAAACUUUUUAUCAGAAGGAUGUAUGCAUCAUACUGAAACUUGGAACUAUUUUACAGUUAUUGGACAUUGUGCUGGGGGAACUGGGAUAUUGCUAGUUGUGGGUUUCUGUCACGUUCCCAACCACUAUGAAAAGAAGCUUUGAUGAGAGGUGGUUGAUUCAUGCUGUACAUUCCAAACAAAUCCACUUAUUUUCUGCAUCAUAUCUUGGGGAAAUGAAAGUCCAUGGAAAUGAACUGCACUGGCUGGUUUUGUGUGUCAAGUUGAUUCAAGCUGCAGUUAUUGCAGAGAAGGGAGCCUGCCUUGAGGAAAUACUUCCAUGAGAUCCAGCUGUAAGGUUUGCUGAGAAACAUUGUAAAUUCAAGAUACUCAUUAAAAACUACAAGUAGAAUAAACUCAGAAAUGCACAUCUGGACACACAGUGAAGGCAUACAACAACGAAAACAGAAGAAAUGAAAGCACCAAGAAAACACUGAUCUACAAUGUUCAAAGAAUCACACUGAGCUACAUGCUCAUCAGACACAAUAAAGGAAAUAAAACAUGCUUGAGUAAAGAAAACUGGAGAGAAUUCACUGCUGGAGACAUCCUUUACAGGAAGUCCUUACGGAAAGCUUUCAGACUGAGAAGCAUAAUUACAUUCAUCAGAAUGCUGAUUGUUAAAAACAAACACCAGUAAAGGUAACCAUGUCAUCUCUCAUCUGCUGAUGCUCACGCUCAGUCAGUUCCUGGUCGCCGUCCUGGUCAUACUUAGUGAAUAUGGCCUCAAUUUCAGCAUCUGUAUGGCCCUUCCUGAAAGUAUUGAGAGAACUGAAGUGAGUUUCUUCUGCACAUGGUCCAGCCCUAACACUGAAACAUCAGAAUGCAGGAGGGAGACAUACAGCGUGUUCCAGGAAAAUAUCUGCUUCCCUGAAUGAAAAACUUUCUACCAGUACUUGGGGCUGAAACAUCCUCUCAUCACCGAGAAUUAGCACAUGGCCCUCACCCUUUCAGGUCUUGCCGAAGUUCAUCAAAGUUUAGCUUGCCGCCACCUUGCCGGAGACUUUCUGAAAUGGCAUCUACUGUGUUUCUUUUAAGUUUUAGUUUGACCAGUGCUUUUUGGCAGCCCUAUUGGAAAAAGAGAAAGAAAAGAAAAACAUACUACAUGGUUUUGUUUAUUCCCCUUUUGGAUUUUUGUCUUUCAGUUACAGUGGAACUAACGAAAGUUCAGCAUUUAGUGGAUGAUGGCUUUCAAGAAAAAUGAGUUGAUGAAAGUAAUGAAUGUAAUCUCAGUCUUUUAUAAAACUGAAGAAAACUUUCAAUAAACCAGGAACUAAGAACCUCCUCCAUA